GACGAACGCUGGCGGCGUGCUUAACACAUGCAAGUCGAACGGGUCUGCCCUGUUUUUUGCGGGGUGGGUCAGUGGCGAACGGGUGAGUAACACGUGAGUAACCUGCCCCUCACUUCUGGAUAACCGCUUGAAAGGGUGGCUAAUACGGGGUGUUCUGGCUGUGCCGCAUGGUGUGGCUGGGAAAGAUUCACUUUUGUGGUGUUUUGGUGGGGGAUGGGCUCGCGGCCUAUCAGCUUGUUGGUGGGGUGAUGGCCUGCCAAGGCUUUGACGGGUAGCCGGCCUGAGAGGGUGGGCGGUCACACUGGGACUGAGAUACGGCCCAGACUCCUGCGGGAGGCUGCAGUGGGGGGUAUUGCACAAUGGGCGGAAGCCUGAUGCAGCGACGUCGCGUGAGGGAUGGAGGCCUUCGGGUUGUGAACCUCUUUCGCCGGUGAAGAAGGUCCUGCUCUUUGUGGUGGGGUUGACGGUAGCCGGGUUAUGAAGCGCCGGCUAACUACGUG
rnacentral:rRNA from 1 species